UACGUAGGGGGCAAGCGUUGCCCGGAUUUAUUGGGCGUAAAGAGCGUGUAGGCGGUUCGGUAGGUCCGUUGUGAAAACUCGAGGCUCAACCUCGAGACGCCGAUGGAAACCCCCGAACUAGAGUCCGGAAGAGGAGAGUGGAAUUCCCGGUGUAGCGGUGAAAUGCGCAGAUAUCGGGAAGAACACCCGUGGCUAAGGCGGCUCUCUAGUACGGUACUGACGCUGAGACGCGAAAGCGUGGGGAGCGAACAGG
rnacentral:rRNA from 1 species